rnacentral:rRNA from 1 species
AACGAACGCUGGCGGCAGGCUUAACUCAUGCAAGUCGAACGCACCGCAAGGUGAGUGGCAGACGGGUGAGUAACGCGUGGGAACCUUCCUUUUAGUAAAGAAUAGCCCAGGGAAACUUGGAUUAAUACUUUAUACGCCCUACGGGGGAAAGAUUUAUCGCUAAAAGAUGGGACCGCGUUGGAUUAGCUAGUUGGUGAGGUAAUGGCUCACCAAGGCUACGAUCUAUAGCUGAUCUGAGAGGAUGAUCAGCCACACUGGAACUGAGACACCGUCCAGACUCCUACGGGAGGCAGCAGUGGGGAAUAUUGGACAAUGGGCGCAAGCUUGAUCCAGCCAUGCCGCGUGAAUGACGAGGGCCUUCGGGUUGUAAAGUUCUUUAGCAGGGGAAAAUCAUGAUGGUACCCUGAAAAUAAGCUCCGGCUAACUUCGUGCCAGCCGCCGCAGUAA